GUCCACACCCUAAACGAUGAUUACUCGUUGUUGGCGAUACACAGUCAGCGACUAAGCGAAAGCAUUAAGUAAUCCACCUGGGGAGUACUGUCGCAAGACUGAAACUCAAAGGAAUUGACGGGGGCCCCGCACAAGCGGAGGAGCAUGUGGUUUAAUUCGAUGAUACGCGAGGAACCUUACCUGGGCUUGAAAGUUAGUGAAUGACGCAGAAACGUGUCAGCUCGAAAGAGCACGAAACUAGGUGCUGCAUUGCUGUCGU
rnacentral:rRNA from 1 species